CAAAAGCGAAAUAAACAGCCUGAGCCAAUAAUAUUCACGGAAGCGGACAUAAGGAUAUUCCUGACUCACUCCACGUGUAGUACUGCUUCUAAAACAAUACACUCACUUAUAAAUAAACUUGUGUGGUGACGACAGCAAGGAAAGAGACAUGCAGUUCAGCAGUCUUCUGAAAACACCAGAGUGCGUGAAGAUGCUCCUUUCAGGAUGUGUCCUUGGGAAAGGAAAAGUAAAAGGAGUAAGGAACAUGCAGAGACAGAGGAAAUGGGGACACACUGGCUGAUGGGAAGGUAGGCAACAAAGAAGGUGGAGCUCAUUCUACAAGUUCACAUCCCUAGAA